rnacentral:lncRNA from 1 species
UAAGGGACUAUACUUCUCCAUACUAUAAUGAAAGUGGAAUAGGAAUGCAGUUCUCAAGGUCUCCACUUACUCCUUUUUUUUUUUUUUUUUUUGUAGGGAGAGCAUGGAAGUGGAGAGAGGGAGAGGGAGAGAAUCUUAAGCAGGCUCCACGCUCAGCAUGGAGCCCAACACACGGCUUGAUCUCAAAACCCUAAGAUCAUGACCUGAGCUGAAAUCAAGAGUUGGACGCUCAACCAACUGAGCCACCCAGGCACCCCUACACUUACUCUGCUUGCCUACAGGAUAAAAUAAAAUAAAAUCAGAACCUGAGCCAGAAUGUUCUAGAGUUCCUUACCUUAAAAGCCACUGAAAAACAGGAUGCAUGUGUUUGAGGCUUAUUAUUUGGGCUGGCAUAUGAUUUAUCUUGCCAAACAUGGCACUCUUACCCCACAACAGGCUUAACUGUCCUGGGUAAACCAGGGUCGUGUAUUCACUCUACUAACAAUGGUGGUGGCAGUGGGGUGUAAUUUCCCAGAGUUGAGUGCUUGGCACAUUUCAUUCCUCAAGCUAAUAUGUAAUAGAGUCCCAUUGUAGGUGCUGUGAGAGAAAUAGAUACACAUCUUCUACCCUCAAGGAGUUUACAGGGUUGAGAAAGAGAUGGCUAUUACUGAGUCAAAACAAUACUGAAACAAUACUGCUCAGACCAAGGAACAAAAAAGAAGUUUAGUAAGUGGUUCCUAUGGAGACACUGAUGCUUGAUCUACGCAGUUACCUCCGCGUUCAAUUACUGAUGGUCUGUCGCAACUUGACAGAACUGAGAGGGGGUAACAUGCCCAGGAGCCAAGUAGGAGCCCAUUUGGAAGAGGAAAAAACCUCAGUCUGCUCAGGAGCCUGAGCCACUCCCUCAAGCCAAAGGUCAGAAACAAAGCAGAUUUGGGAGGCUACAAUCAAGGUCAUUUGAGAAGUAAGACCCGGUGUCUUACCCUUACCUAUGGGUGUCCACAUAGAAAUUUAUAGACAUGGGAAAGGCUAGAUAAUGAGAAUGCUCCAUAAAGAGGCACCGUACUUCACCAGGGAGAAAGGCAUCCAAGUUGCUUCACAAAUGUUAAGAAAUAUGCCUAUUUAAUUGUAUGUUGCAUUUUCCCUGGUCUUUGUUUUAUUCAUUUCAUGUGCAGUGAUUAAAAAGAUAUAUUGUACAUUUUAUUAUCUCUUAUGUUUUCCAAUAAAUACAAACCUGGCAUACUUUUUUUCUCAAAUUCUUCUCGGAGGUGUGGUGAACAUCG